CCUCUGCCUCCCCACAUGCUGAGAUUAAAGGUGUGCAAGGUGUGCACCACCUUCACCACACAAGACCUUGCCUUAAAAAAAAAAAAAAGGAAUUUGGCCUGGAGUGAUAACUGGAUAACUCAGCUGUGAGGAGUACUUAACUGGCUUACAGAGGACCCCAGUUCUGUCCCCAGCUCCCAUAUUGGGCAAUCUACAACUACCCAGAACUCCAGCUCCAAGGUCAGAGGACAACUCAGGAGAACCGGUUCUCUUCUUCCUCCACUCCAUGUGUUCCAGAGACUGGACCCCAGUUCACAGGCCUGGCAGCAAGCAUUUUUGCCCCUGGAGCCAUCUCAACGGCCCCAAGAAAUCGUCUUGGUUUUUGUUGGGGAUUUUAUUCAGCAUUUGAUUUUAUUUUACACCAUGGGUUGAACCCAGGGUUUCUCACACCUUAGGUGUGUGCUCUUACAUUGAACCAUAAUACCAAUCAGAAGGCUUGUUUUUUUAAAAGUGAUGAAAAAAAAAAGGAUUAAGAACCUAGCCGUGAAGAUGUUUUUUAGACUAUUUUCAGACUAGGAGAGGGUGGAUAAAGAGAUUCCCCUACAAGGAGGCCUGACAGAGGCCUGUAGUGGACAACUGCUUGAUAUGUCAGGGAACAAGAUCCAUUACUACCUGUUCAGAGAAUGUUUGAAUCUAGAAUGGGGCUUUUCUGACCAUUGGCCCCUCUGGGGAACUGGGGUGACUUCUCCCCAGUUCUAUAUGCUAGCUUCUGAAUCAGGACCCAUCCAGAGGCCAUAACUUUGCAAUUACUAUUCCCCUCCCCUUGUCCCCUGGCUGUGGAGAGUUGGGCUUGCCUGGGCAUGCUUCCCCCGGCACCCCCAGCCCAACCCUUAGGUUUCUUCUUCCCUUUUGUCUUCCCAACUAAAAGCUGGAGGGCAGUGUUCUGCCCAUCUUAAUACCCGUUAGCCAGCACUAUGCUAGGCCCACAGGAGAAUUCCAGGGCGUCCCCCCGACUGAAUGAAUGUUUGGAUGGAUCCGUGGACAGUUAAAUGAAAUGAAAAGACAGCAUUCCCAGAAUUACACGGAUGUAUAAUGGAGAUCCCAGGAUCGGGCUGGGUGUGCAGAGGGGCUCUUCAGAAGACUUCCAUGUCACCUUUCCAGCCCCUUUGCAACUCAAGCUGGGCACAGGCAGAAUAGUCCUCUUCCUCAGGUGGGGGAUGGGAGCCCCACUCAAGGACAGCCUGGGUCUUCCACCAGGAGUGCAGCAUCCCUAGGCAAUGGGCAACCAAUCACCCAAAGGCAUAGAGCCGAUCUAGGAACUCUUGAAAAGCAGAGUUUUUCCUUUAAGUACCUCAAAAUACUUGACAAGAUUUUUAUUUAUUUCUUUACGUCGGAGCUGGGAAUGGAUCCCAUGGCCUCACAUAGGCUAGGCAGGCGCUCUUACCACUAACAGACACCUCCAAAGGAAAGCAUGUUUUAAAAGUCGAGGUGAGAGUCUUAUCUAAAGUGAAUCGCUUCAAGCUGAACAAAUAGCACAUUCAAAAUGUUGUGCAACUACCUCCUCCACUGGUUUCCAAACAUCUCUAUGGCUCCAAAGGAGACAGGUACCAAUCCAUCACUAUCUCUAAAACACCUACGAAGCUUAAGAUCCCUGUCAGGUGUGGGCCGUCAGCGGGACCUCUUUGUUCAGCUAUAGAAAUGUCAUUCCCAUCAGAGUCUCAUUUGCAUGUGUCAUCAAGGAGUCCUGCUCCGGGGAGACAAUUCUCAUGUGCACACAGCGCACAACAACACAACACGCACCCUGCUCUGCGGAGAUGGCCUUAGUGGAGAGGUGGCUGGAAGUGGGUUAGCUUCACAUCUUGGGUGACUUGCACCUCUGGAGUUGGCAAUCGGGCCCCACACCCCAGUCUCUGUGGCCAGAGCCAUGACCAUGUAGAAUAGAUGCCUCACCAUUGGUUGCGCUCUGUUCCCGUGGGACCCACCAGAGCCUGCAAUUUAAAGUCCGUGAGCACUCACUCCUGGCCACCUGCCCCUCCCUCGGCAGGCGGUGCCUGUCCCAAGCACCAGUUCCCAGGGCCUCAGUCUGGCAAGUCGCCCCAGUCGGGUUUGGGAAGUUAAACCAGAUCUUGGGGUGGUGGUGUGAGUCUGGGAACCCCACAAUUCAAGAUGAAAAUCCCUGAAGACCAGCAGGGUUGUCUCUACUCUUGAGCUGGCAGUGGCUUCCUCAGCUCACUGGAAACUUCAGGGAUAUACUAAGUGGAGGUAGCCAGAGAACAGAAAGCCUCCCGGUGGUGGGGGGAGAGGGUGGAGUGGUAACUGGUGGAGACAAUAAGCCUGCAACUGUGUUCCCAAAGACUUCUCUGGCUCGUUUACUUAAAACAACAACAAACAGCUUGGUCAGAAUAGCAAGAUUGUAGAUGCACCUGGCCCACUGGAGGGUUGUGAAAAGCUGUUGACAGCUCACAACACAAGACUUCAAGCAGGAUUUUGAUUGUUCUAAGGGAGUGUUAAAAACCCAGCGGGAGGCUUUUUGCAAAUGAAGCUGCUUUUUGAAAUGGAAAUACUGACAAUACAAUAUAGUACAGCUAUUGAAAACAGCUUUUAAAAUCUUAUCUAGAAAGUACACUCCAAGGAAAAGGCACAGCGCCCCUCUACACCCCAGCCCAGAGAGCCCAUUAAUCCUUCCAUCCCCAAGGGGCUUUUGAGUCUGAUUAACUCUUAGGGGCUGAGGGUGCUGCUCAGAAAUACAGCAUGUGUUUAGCAUGCACACAGUUCUGGGCUCAAUCCCAGCAUCACACACAAAAACAACGAAAGGGAUUUGGCGUGGGUGGGGGGCUUACAACGUAUAGUAUAGAUAGGCACUCCUCCCUCCAAACUCUGUUUAGAUGGGGUGGGGUCCAUUGGGGUCCUUCUGUACAAGUGAUUCCAGGCAGUUUUGUGCUCUUCCCUACAUAUCUGCUGACCUCUGGGGAAGAAGGGCAGGGAGGGCCUGGGAUGGAGGCUAGGCUGGCUUCUCAGCCAAGCCAAGCCUCUCUGUGGGGGCAGGGUGCUCUGCCAGGGAUGGGUGAGGGCAUACAGCUGCAAAGACAAGGCCUACAUGUGACAACAGUGAGCUCACAGAUGGCCAGUUCUGCCAGGGUCCUGAGUUUCACAAGAUGUCAUUUCCUCUGGAGACAGGGCAGAGGCGAUGGGGACCCCACAAAGGGCUGGCUUCAUAAACCGGUCCUGUUGAGGGCCAGAGAGAUCUUGAGAGUUGGGAGGGUGGGUUCAGGAUUCUGCCAGACUAUUCCAACAGAAGCAAAGACCCGGACAGCCGCGGUGCGGCCCACCCAUCUUUUCAUUUCCUGCCAAGCUGGAGCAGAGGAUCUUAGGGACUCAGCUAGCCUCGGAACUCCAGGACAGCAUCUCUUUUCUCCUUCACCUGCCCAUCCCAGUGACUCUCAUUAUCCAACCUUCUACCAGCUUUGUAGGACCCUUCUCCCAUCCUGGGUCUGAACUCUUACGAAGAAAGAAAAUUAUAGAGCUGGGGAGGGCUAGGCAGUCCCUUCCCUAGUAAGCCCCUAAAGACUGGGCUAAAUACUCUCCAUUUCCUGCAGCCAGUGGAGGUUGUGGGGUACUGGACCAGGAGUGCGGCCACCCUUCAAGGCUGUUUGACUGCUAAGGAUGAUGGGAGUUAUUCUGGGUAUACCCCUGGUACAGAUCCCAGGAGGCGUAAUAUGACUUUGUUAUAAAUGUUACAA